GUCCGCCUUUGGUGUGCAUUGGUC
rnacentral:siRNA from 1 species